rnacentral:rRNA from 1 species
GUGGGGAAUUUUGGACAAUGGGCGCAAGCCUGAUCCAGCAAUGCCGCGUGCAGGAAGAAGGCCUUCGGGUUGUAAACUGCUUUUGUACGGAACGAAACGGUCCGGGUUAAUACCCUGGGCUAAUGACGGUACCGUAAGAAUAAGCACCGGCUAACUACGUGCCAGCAGCCGCGGUAAUACGUAGGGGGCAAGCGUUAAUCGGAAUUACUGGGCGUACAGCGUGCGCAGGCGGUUUUGUAAGACAGGCGUGAAAUCCCCGGGCUCAACCUGGGAAUUGCGCUUGUGACUGCAAGGGUGGAGGGCGGCAGAGGGGGAUGGAAUUCCGCGUGUAGCAGUGAAAUGCGUAGAUAUGCGGAGGAACACCGAUGGCGAAGGCAAUCCCCUGGGCCUGCACUGACGCUCAUGCACGAAAGCGUGGGGAGCAAACAGGAUUAGAUACCCCGGUAGUCC